GCAGUGAAGAUGCUGUGUACCCGCACCUAGACGGAAAGACCCCGUGAACCUUUACUACAGCUUGGCACUGAACAUUGAACCUACAUGUGUAGGAUAGGUGGGAGGCUUUGAAGCACAGUCGCUAGAUUGUGUGGAGCCGUCCUUGAAAUACCACCCUUGUAUGUUUGAUGUUCUAACAUUGACCCCUUAUCGGGGUUGUGGACAGUGUCUGGUGGGUAGUUUGACUGGGGCGGUCUCCUCCCAAAG
rnacentral:rRNA from 1 species